GGCCCCAUGGUCAAGAGGUCAAGACGCCACCCUCUCAAGGUGGAAUCAGGGGUUCAAUUCCCCUUGGGGCUG
rnacentral:tRNA from 1 species